UACGUAGGGUGCAAGCGUUAAUCGGAAUUAUUGGGCGUAAAGCGUGCGCAGGCGGUUUCGUAAGUCUGUCGUGAAAGCCCCGGGCUCAACCUGGGAAUUGCGAUGGAGACUGCGAGGCUAGAGUGUGGCAGAGGGGGGUAGAAUUCCACGUGUAGCAGUGAAAUGCGUAGAUAUGUGGAGGAACACCGAUGGCGAAGGCAGCCCCCUGGGAUAACACUGACGCUCAGGCACGAAAGCGUGGGGAGCAAACAGG
rnacentral:rRNA from 1 species